rnacentral:rRNA from 1 species
GACGAACCGAGCGAACGUUGUUCGGAAUCACUGGGCUUAAAGGGUGCGUAGGUGGGCUGGUAAGUCAGUGGUGAAAUCCCCGAGCUUAACUUGGGAACUGCCAUUGAUACUAUCAGUCUUGAAUACCGUGGAGGUCAGCGGAAUAUGUCAUGUAGCGGUGAAAUGCUUAGAUAUGACAUAGAACACCAAUUGCGAAGGCAGCUGGCUACACGAAUAUUGACACUGAGGCACGAAAGCGUGGGGAUCAAACAGG